UACGUAGGGACCAAGCGUUGUCCGGAAUCAUUGGGCGUAAAGAGCGUGUAGGCGGCCAUUUAAGUCCUGCGUGAAAUCUCGGGGCUCAACCCCGAGCGGUCGUGGGAAACUGGAUGGCUAGAGUGCGGGAGAGGAGAGUGGAAUUCCUGGUGUAGCGGUGGAAUGCGCAGAUAUCAGGAAGAACACCCGUGGCGAAGGCGGCUCUCUGGGCCGUAACUGACGCUGAGGAGCGAAAGCGUGGGGAGCGAACAGG
rnacentral:rRNA from 1 species